CCUACGGGUGGCAGCAGUGGGGAAUUUUGCGCAAUGGACGAAAGUCUGACGCAGCAACGCCGCGUGGGUGAUGAAGGUCUUCGGACUGUAAAACCCUGUCGUCAGGGACGAAGGUUCGGGUGUGAAUAGCGCUCGGACUUGACGGUACCUGGAGAGGAAGCCCCGGCUAACUCUGUGCCAGCAGCCGCGGUAAUACAGAGGGGGCAAGCGUUAUUCGGAAUUAUUGGGCGUAAAGGGCGCGUAGGCGGUUUUUUAAGUCAGAUGUGUAAUCCCCGAGCUCAACUUGGGAACUGCAUCUGAGACUGGAAGGCUAGAGUACUGGAGAGGGUGGUGGAAUUCCUCGUGUAGCGGUGAAAUGCGUAGAGAUGAGGAGGAACACCAGUGGCGAAGGCGGCCACCUGGACAGUAACUGACGCUGAGGCGCGAAAGUGUGGGUAGCAAACAGGAUUAGAUACCCUAGUAGUC
rnacentral:rRNA from 1 species